rnacentral:rRNA from 1 species
CCUACGGGAGGCAGCAGUAGGGAAUCUUCCACAAUGGGCGAAAGCCUGAUGGAGCAACGCCGCGUGGGUGAAGAAGGUCUUCGGAUCGUAAAACCCUGUUGUUAGAGAAGAAAGUGCGUGAGAGUAACUGUUCACGUUUCGACGGUAUCUAACCAGAAAGCCACGGCUAACUACGUGCCAGCAGCUGCGGUAAUACGUAGGUGGCAAGCGUUAUCCGGAAUUAUUGGGCGUAAAGGGAACGAAGGCGGUCUUGUAAGUCAGAUGUGAAAGCCUACGGCUUAACCGGAGUAGUGCAUUGGAAACUGGGAGACUUGAGUACAGGAGAGGAGAGUGGAACUCCAGGUGUAGCGGUGAAAUGCGUAGAGAUAAGGAGGAACACCAGUGGCGAAAGCGACCCGCUGGACUGUAACUGACGCUGAGGUGCGAAAGCGUGGGUAGCAAACAGGAUUAGAUACCCUUGUAGUC